GCUGGGUAUGGUGGUGCACACCUGUAAUCCCAGGGACGCAGGAGGCUGAGACAGGAGGAUCGCCAGUUUGAGGUCAGCCUCAGCAACUUAAUGAGGCCGUAAGUGAUUUAGCAAGAUCCAGUCUCAA
rnacentral:sRNA from 1 species